UACGUAGGGUGCAAGCGUUGUCCGGAAUUAUUGGGCGUAAAGAGCUCGUAGGCGGUUUGUCGCGUCUGCUGUGAAAACUGGAGGCUCAACCUCCAGCCUGCAGUGGGUACGGGCAAACUAGAGUGCGGUAGGGGAGAUUGGAAUUCCUGGUGUAGCGGUGAAAUGCGCAGAUAUCAGGAGGAACACCGGUGGCGAAGGCGGGGUCUCGUGGGCCGAUACUGACGCUGAGGAGCGAAAGCGUGGGGAGCGAACAGG
rnacentral:rRNA from 1 species